rnacentral:tRNA from 1 species
GGGGAUUUAGCUCAGCGGCAUAAGCGCCUGCCUUGUAAGCAGGCAGUCCCCG